rnacentral:sRNA from 1 species
GCCAGGCAUGGUGCCACAUGCCUGUAAUCCUAGCAGCUUGGGAGGCUGAGACAGGAGGAUCAUAAUUUCAAAGCUAGCCUCAGAAACUCAGCAAGGCCCUAAACAACUUAGUGACACCCUGUCUCGA